CGGCGUGCUUAACACAUGCAAGUCGAACGAGAAUCACCGGAAGGAGUUUUCGGACAACGGAAGGUGAGGACAGUGGCGGACGGGUGAGUAACGCGUGAGGAACCUGCCUUUCAGAGGGGGACAACAGUUGGAAACGACUGCUAAUACCGCAUAACGCAUAGGUAUCGCAUGGUACUUAUGCCAAAGAUUUAUCGCUGAAAGAUGGCCUCGCGUCUGAUUAGCUGGUUGGUGAGGUAACGGCCCACCAAGGCGACGAUCAGUAGCCGGACUGAGAGGUUGACCGGCCACAUUGGGACUGAGAUACGGCCCAGACUCCUACGGGAGGCAGCAGUGGGGAAUAUUGGGCAAUGGGCGCAAGCCUGACCCAGCAACGCCGCGUGAAGGAAGAAGGCUUUCGGGUUGUAAACUUCUUUUGGCAGGGAAGAGGAGAAGACGGUACCUGCCGAAUAAGCCACGGCUAACUACGUGCCAGCAGCCGCGGUAAUACGUAGGUGGCAAGCGUUGUCCGGAUUUACUGGGUGUAAAGGGCGUGUAGCCGGGUUGGUAAGUCAGAUGUGAAAUGCACGGGCUUAACUCGUGAACUGCAUUUGAAACU
rnacentral:rRNA from 1 species